rnacentral:tRNA from 1 species
CGGGGCGUAGCGCAGCCUGGUAGCGCGACGGCUUUGGGCCGUAGGUCGUGAGUUCGAAUCUCGCCGCCCCGACCA